rnacentral:rRNA from 1 species
AGUAACACGUAGGUAACCUGCCCAUGUGUCCGGGAUAACUGCUGGAAACGGUAGCUAAAACCGGAUAGGUAUACAGAGCGCGUGCUCAGUAUAUUAAAGCGCCCUUCAAGGCGUGAACAUGGAUGGACCUGCGGCGCAUUAGCUAGUUGGUGAGGUAACGGCCCACCAAGGCGAUGAUGCGUAGCCGGCCUGAGAGGGUAAACGGCCACAUUGGGACUGAGACACGGCCCAA